GAUUUUUUAGUAUAUAAGUACAUUAGACUUCCAAUCUUAAAGACUGAGUUUCAGAAAAAUUA
rnacentral:tRNA from 1 species